rnacentral:misc_RNA from 1 species
UUCAGCCCCAGCUAACCAGUA